AUUGAACGCUGGCGGCAUGCUUUACACAUGCAAGUCGAGCGGCAGCGCGGGGGCAACCCUGGCGGCGAGCGGCGAACGGGUGAGUAAUGCAUCGGAACGUACCCUGGAGUGGGGGAUAACGCCGCGAAAGCGGCGCUAAUACCGCAUAUGCUCUGAGGAGGAAAGUGGGGGACCGCAAGGCCUCACGCUCUGGGAGCGGCCGAUGUCCGAUUAGCUAGUUGGUGGGGUAAAGGCUUACCAAGGCGACGAUCGGUAGCUGGUCUGAGAGGAUGAUCAGCCACACUGGGACUGAGACACGGCCCAGACUCCUACGGGAGGCAGCAGUGGGGAAUUUUGGACAAUGGGGGCAGCCCUGAUCCAGCCAUGCCGCGUGAGUGAAGAAGGCCUUCGGGUUGUAAG
rnacentral:rRNA from 1 species